CACUUUAGGGUUAAACAAAAACCCCAGGGAAAAGGUGUAUAUCCACUUUUUGCCUAAGAUUCAAUUGCUUUAUAAAUAACUACAAAGCAAGGUAGAAUGGCCCUUGGAUUAAAAACAUAUAAUUCCUCGAUAUUUGAGUAAAUUCCAGCACAUCCAGCUACGGAAUCAUAAGAACGAAUAGGUGACAUGCCAAUUCUAUCUUCUUCAAAUGUUGCAUUAUUCACCACUUGCUUGACUCUUCCAGCUAUAACACGACACACAAGCAUUGCCCUUCGCACAUCCCCACUUCCAAGGCAAUCGUGGGCCCUCCCACUACUAGCAGUUGUGUGAACACCACUCACCUUGUUUCCUUGAAAGCCAUGUCGGAUGAUAGUGCACACUCCGCAACCUGGGAAGGACCCGCACAACCUAGUUGACCCACGAGUGCCAAGCGAACAUAUAAGUGUUGUGCAGUAAAACCUUAACAACUCAUUUCCAUCCGCUGCACACCGGGGGUUUUUCUUGGUAUUGCUAUUUGCACGUAUUUUAACUGCGUCUCUACUGUCCUCAAACCGUUGGAUUGUGCGUUGAGUGUUGUGUACUUUUAAUACUCGCUCAAUGUUGCAAACUGAGUUAUCCUUCUUGAGCCAACUUGAUGUGAAGAUAAUCUCCACUAUGUUGCGGCUUGAAUCUUCUUCGCCGAUUUCAGAAACUACAAAGAACCAAAUGAAAAAUAUAAAUGCAAGAAAUACUAAGUUAACAGUAGGAAAAUGCUACUCUUACCGACGAAAGGUAUACUAAUUUUGCAAUUAUUUAUUUGUGUUUCAAUAAUCAACAUAAAUUUACGAAUUUGAAACACAUCUAGGUUAAUUCUUCGGUUAGGCAAUAUUUAUGUAGAUAGAAUAUGUACUAUUAAACCCACUUUAGAACUCUAGACAAAUGCAUUAAUGAUUGACAUUUGGAUUUUUAGUUAGUUUGACAUAGAUGAGAUCGUAUUUGAAGGAAGACAAAAUUGCAACUGAGGCAAUAUGUUGGGGACCAAACUUAAUACCAAAGCAAUACAUCAAGGAUCGAUAGUGAGAUUCUCUGCAUAUAUUAGCUACGUGACGCUGAAAUGUAGAACAUGAACAUGGACCAAACAAAUGAUAGCUACAAUUCCCAGUUUAUAUAAUUUGAUGGGACACAAAAUAAUGCAUUAUUGAUCUAGACAUAGCAGAUGUAACCCCUUCAAAUUAGGACAAAAAAUACAAUGAGGAAAAUGUCAUAUGUACAGGGGUAUUGUUUACAGAAUUUUUACAGAACACUCACAUGAAAUGAGCACCAUGUGAUUAAAAUAUUGUAAAAAAGUAUCACCCCACGCACUCUUCAUGUGUGUGUCCUGUACAGGGCUUGUACAUGUAGCUUUGCCCAUACAAUAAACAUAAGUGUCCUGCCACAGCUAGAAUGACAAAAUAAGUGGCACAAAAAGUCAAAAAAAACAUUGGCCUUGUCCUAUUUUUUAGCUACUUUAUAAUAAUUUAUAUAAUCAUAGAAGACUUUGGGCUAUACACGAAAAAAGGACAGCAAAAAUAAAUACUAACAUGUACCUGCGUGCCUAAUGGCUUGAUGAUGUUCCAAGCUUUCAAUUUUUGGGAACACAUCUCCACAUUCGGAGCAAGCACAUAUAGUUGUUCUUGGCAAUGGAUACCUGCAAAACAAAAUAUUGAUUGGAAUUAAAAUUAAAAUUUUAAUUUAGAUCAAAGUUAAUAAUUAAUUUUAACUACAUAUUUCACAUUAUACACAACUUCUCGAUCGCGCAUUUUAUUAAUUUUUAUCAAAAUUUACUAAAAAUCUUAUUUUAACCUCCCCGAACAGGGCUUAUCACAAUUUGUUUUUCUUUUAGGGCAACAUUUUAUUUAGCAAGAUUUCAAACAUUAUUAAUUAAAUCACGAACAGCAAAGGUUUGGUCAUAAUAUUGUCGAUAAUAUAAAGAAAAGAGUUAUAAUAGGUUGACAAUGAUGAAGUAUUAUAGCCUACUGAUUUAUAAAAAUUGUACACGUCUUUAAUUUUUAUGAAAAUAUUGUCUCGGCUUAAGUAAGUUCAUCAUCUCUAACUUUUUAACUAGGCCGUUGGGUACCUGUUAGGAUCAACAAUCGAGUGACACUCAUAACACCCAGAAAGCUUCCUGAAUUGCAUGCCUCUGGAUGAUCCUGCUAUAUAUGUUGUACCACCGCCACCACUUGAUCUCACUGAACUAGAAAUUGACCUUGAAGAAGAAGAUGACCAAUUACUACUUUUCUUGCUCAAAAGCAUCGUUUCUUGCCCCGGGGAGUUAUCCGCUCUGUGAACGACCCUUGUGUUGCCAUGAACAAUAUCUCCAAAUGGACAAAUAGAACUGCAGGAAGAGCUCAAAAAAGUUGCAGUGUUAUUCUUUGAAGGAUCGUGAAUUUUUGAAUCUUGGAUUUGUUUGCAACUGAGCAAGUUCUUGAUUUGGUUCCAUGAAGAAGAUGACGUCUGGUUAUUCUUCUGGUGCUUUUUCUUCCGCUUGGACAGUUGUUUCUUGGCCACCGCCGCCGCCUGCUCGGGUGGGAAACUGAGGACUGCCAUGAAAUCACAGUUUUUAUUUAAAUACAAAGCUGAAUCCUGAAUGGGAAUUGAAAUUUGUUAAAUUCCGCUGUGCAUGUUUAAGUAAAUUCCCAACAUAAACCAUUGCCCCCUUCUUAUCAUCUUUCCUUGCCAGACCAUUAGCUAAAGCACUGAUAGAAGCUCCACUCACUUCAGCUCGAUGAUAAGGCAAGUGCCAAGGAACGAAAUAUUCCUGCUGGGAUGCACAGUCCUCUUCAGUUUUAGAAGCCAAUGACUGAUCUCCAUCUCCAGAGUUCGAUUGCACAAUUUUAUGUGACACAACAUCUGAAGAUUGGGCAGGAAAAUUGUUUGACUGCUCCCCAGGACCAUUUUCUGCAAUUUCAGGGAUGCUUUCUAGAGCGAAUGUAGAUGAUGCAUUGCGAACUCGAGGGCUACCAGGACCUAUCCACUCCUCUAAAUACUUUUGAGUAAGCGGAGUCCAUUUGUUAAUCAAUAAUCUAUCUUCUUGUUCCCUAGCCCAAACUGUAAUUAGGACAAGGCCACCUGUUUUAACAACACGAAUCAAUUCAUCUACUGCUUUCCUCCUCCUGCUUUCUGUGCUCAGGUGAUGUAACACAGCAAUGGAAAUUGCAGCAUCGCUGUAACCAGUGCGGUAAGGAAGAUUUACAGCAUCAGCAACUAGAAUUUCAUGCCCUUUAUCUGCACAUAUUUUGACAAGCGGAGGACUAAUAUCACAGCCAAUGAAAUAGCAAUCGGAAUUCAAGCCUAAGUAUUUCCCAUUUCCGCAUCCUGCAUCUAAGACGAGCGAUCCUCGAGGCAAAGAGUUUAAGAACAUUUGCACUUUGGGCCACUUUGCAAACCUAGUAGAAUUAAAAUGGGGAGCAAUUGCAUCAUAAACGCGAUGAACAUACUUCUUCUCAAUUUCUGGGGUCGAGUGAACUUCUGAGGAUAGACAUUUUUGUUCAGACCUCAUGGAUAUAGAUGGUAAAACAUGCAAAUCUGCAUCAGAAACAGGGGAACACAAACCAGAGGAAUUAUCUACCCCUAUUCCUUUCAUACCAUACAAUCUUCUCGUAUGAUGACGGACGGAGGUAAAUAUGACAGUCGAGCAAGCCAAGACUCCUUCAAUGCAAAAUGUUCUAGCUCUCACAGCAUCAAGGAUCAUAACAUAAUAACUGGCAAGAUUCUAUAGUAGGAAUACCAAGAAAAAAAUUCAAAUCAGCCAAUACACAAAAGAACGACUAGAAAAAUAUGACAUGCAGCAAAAAAGCACGAAACACAACUAAAUUGAAACAAAAAAGUGCCUGCUUUGGUUUAAGAUAAUCUCUUCUAAUUAAUAAUCAAUAAAAGAAAGUACCAAUAGAUGCCUUUAUCUUGAGGAGAACAAGAACCCAUAAAAGAGAAAUGGAUGCAGAACUGCAGAUUAUCUGCUAAUUCAGAUCAGAGAGCCAAUUCCCUAUCAAGGAACACAUACAGAUUGUUCACAGGUAUAUAUAAUAGCUCCCAACUUAUUUCCACGAAAGAGAGGGGGGAAGGCAAAAGAAGUUCUUUAGUGCAUUUUUUCAUACAUAUUAUGUGCAUAAUCAAAAACUAAUGUUCAUGUCACAACACUAAGCCUAACUACAAUACAGCUUAAUCACAUCAAAUUAUUGAGGGAAAAUUUAAAUCAAGAAAAUAAGAUAUUAUUCAAAUCAGAACCAAAUAUUCGAGUAAUUGAGUUACCUGUGCCGGAGACUUUUCAGCGAACGGAGCUGCAACGGCUGUUAAGGAGCAAUAGGUUAUAGCCUUAUAGGAGUGCGACUUUCCGGUGGGCUUUCUAUAUUGGUCCAUUGGGCUUUUUGAUCUGCGAACGCUCGUAAAGAGGGCCACUGGGCUUUAAGCCCACUACUAGAUCCAUUUGCCGCAAUGCUUAUUACUCAUGGAAACACGGAGUUAUGAUUUAUUUAUUGUACAAAUGUCACCUCCCAACUUUUUCUUCUUUAACAUUUUCAAUAGAAGAAGACCCACCAUCAAUAAUUUUUUCUGUCCUUUCGAAAAUGUUGGAUCGACGUAAAGUUCAGCAACAGCCACAAUUCUCAAAUUUUAUUAUACAAGUAAUAGUAAUUUACUUCAAUUUCGAUUGGAAAUUUGUAUAAAUUAUAUAUUUUGAUCACGAAGGAUUAGAAGGGGGAACUUGGUAAAUUUGUCUUUCAGUAACAACAAAUUAAGCCUCUGUUUGAUGGUAUUAAAUUCUAGAUUUUUAUCAAAAUUAGAGUUAAUAAUUAAUUUUAACUACACAUCUCAUUAAACCCAUCACUUAUCAAUCAUAUAUUUUAUCAACUUUAAUCAAAAUUUAUUAAAAAUUUUAAUUUUAAUCCACUCCAAUCAGGAGCUAAAUAUUUUUACGAGUAGACAACCAUACAAAAAGCAUCAAGUGCAUAUACAAGACUGAAUAAUUCAGCUUUUAGUUUGGCCAACCCCGAAUUAGUCACUUGAUUUGAUACCAGCCACUUUAGGGUUAAACAAAAACCCCAGGGAAAAGGUGUAUAUCCACUUUUUGCCUAAGAUUCAAUUGCUUUAUAAAUAACUACAAAGCAAGGUAGAAUGGCCCUUGGAUUAAAAACAUAUAAUUCCUCGAUAUUUGAGUAAAUUCCAGCACAUCCAGCUACGGAAUCAUAAGAACGAAUAGGUGACAUGCCAAUUCUAUCUUCUUCAAAUGUUGCAUUAUUCACCACUUGCUUGACUCUUCCAGCUAUAACACGACACACAAGCAUUGCCCUUCGCACAUCCCCACUUCCAAGGCAAUCGUGGGCCCUCCCACUACUAGCAGUUGUGUGAACACCACUCACCUUGUUUCCUUGAAAGCCAUGUCGGAUGAUAGUGCACACUCCGCAACCUGGGAAGGACCCGCACAACCUAGUUGACCCACGAGUGCCAAGCGAACAUAUAAG
rnacentral:lncRNA from 1 species